rnacentral:rRNA from 1 species
UGGGAUUACCCGCUGAACUUAAGCAUAUCAAUAAGCGGAGGAAAAGAAACUAACAAGGAUUCCCCUAGUAACGGCGAGUGAAGAGGGAAAAGCCCAAAUUUGUAAUCUGGCUCUUUUAGAGUCCGAGUUGUAAUUUUGAGAACUGUUUUCAGUGCUGGACCAUGUUUAAGUCUGUUGAAAAACAGCAUCAUUGAGGGUGAUAAUCCCGUUCAUGAUAUGGACUACCAGUACUUUAUGAUACAGUCUCUAAGAGUCGAGUUGUUUGGGAAUGCAGCUCAAAGUGGGUGGUAAAUUCCAUCUAAGGCUAAAUAUAGGUGAGAGACCGAUAGCAAACAAGUACCGUGAGGGAAAGAUGAAAAGAACUUUGGAAAGAGAGUUAACAGUACGUGAAAUUGCUGAAAGGGAAACAAUUGAAGUUAGCCUUGUUAUUGUCAGUUCAGCUCUUUUAGAGUGUAUUCUGAUGAUUAACGACCAACAUCAGUCUUUGAGUGCUGGAUAAGGGUUUUGGAAAUGUAGCAGUCUCGGCUGUGUUAUAGUCCAUUACUUUGAUACAGUGCUUGGGAUUGAGGAUCGCAGUAAGCCAUUUUAUGGUGGACCAAAUUUUUGGUCUUCUUACUGAGGAUGUUGGUGAAA